GCGCUCGAGACUGUAUAGAAAGAGCAUGGAGGCUGUAAGCUCCUAAGUUGGACUUUUGAAAAUGAAGAGCUGACGACUGAUUACGGUUCUUGUACCCCUCUCUGAGGAUUACAUAUUUUGAUUUGUGGAAGACGCCCAAGAGCAGAAACAGCAGGUUCAGACUCGCUGCUUGCCUGAGGAGCUGAGAUGCUGGACAGAUACAAAAUGCAUAUCUUAUUGCUGGGCCUGGCUCUGUUGAUGCUAGGCCUGGCCUCUGACGCCUCUUCUCUUGGCCUGACAGUGCAUGUUGUGCCCCUGAACAGUGAUGGAGGAAAAACAGUGCGGGCUCAUUUUACCGUCAUUGCUCCUGGUCCUUGUCCGUCUUUGUCUGGACUCUGUGCUCCAGGAGAGGACUGUCUAGUCCACACCACCCCGUUACCUUUCACUGGGACCAAACCCUCUGACUGGUGUGUCCGCCAGUGGCAGAAAACUGUCCCCAGUGACUACAGAGCUACCAUCAGUUUAGGGUCCAGCACAGAAUUUUUUGUGUCUAUAAAUGCAGGACCAGUGAUCCGAGCAAACACUGGGAGACUCAACCACCCUGCUUUUGUGGCUCUCCCUCCUCCACUAAGGGCCCAUGUGAACUGUCCUCACGACUUCCAUCUGUCAGUGAAAGACUUGGAUGGGGACAAGGUCCGAUGUCGAUUUGCCAGUUCUGACAAGGGAGAGUGUGUCAGCUGCACCCAGCACUCCUUCAUAGAGCUGGAUGGGGAGACAUGCAUUUUGUCCUUCACUGGACAGGCACCUGCAGGACAGUAUUUUAUUUACCUGAUGGUGGAGGACCUGAUUCCUUCGCCCAGAGCAAACCAUGCCACAGAUCCGCCCCUCAGCUCUGUCCCUGUCCAUCUCUCUCUAACUGUGGAAAAGUCAUAUUUUAGGUGCUCUGAUGAACCAGUGGCCAUAGACAGGACCCCAAAAGAUGACUCUGUACUGUUUGUUCUGCCGUACCAGGAGGAGAUAAUCAACAUUGACUAUAGGUCGGAGGAGGAGAGAGUUUUAGAGUUUGCCGUGGUUGGGCCCCCUGACCUCUACAGGACUGGCUUCACAUCAGUCGGCCCCCUGGCCACUAUGGCCAUGGCCUGGAUCCGCUCUGAGAACAAUCUGACUCAUCUGUUGCCCAUCUGCUUUGCUGCAAAUACCAAGAGUUUACAGUCGGAGCCAAGAUGUGUGUGGCUGUACCAAAGGGAAACCAGAACAUUACCUGCUGGAACAGAACUGAAGUGUGAGAAGACAGAGAUGACUCUGGUGCUCCCCAUCACCUCGCUCACAAACAUCGACCUUGCCGAACUCCAGCUCAACAGCCCCACCUGCCCCGUCAACUACAACAACACACAUGUGACUGCAACCAUCUCCUUGGACGGCUGUGGGACAAAGACUGUGCACUCUGGCCCAGAGCUGGUUUACACCAACACCUUGAAAACCGUGCGUCCCUAUGCUAUGAUUAGCCGCCAGCCAUCACUUAUCCUGCCUUUGGCCUGCCGCAUCCCAGGAGUCCAGGUCAAGGGUCCAAACGCUUUAAUUGAGAUGCCCACAGAGAAAGAGACCUUUGGUGAGUUUCGUGUUUGGAUUGAAUUUUACCUCCCAGGAACAGGUCCCCUGGCAAAAUUCACCAGAAAUCCCAAGUUUCGCUCUAACGGCAACUCACCACAAAGACUGCGUAGAAGUGUUGACUCGGGAACAGGAAGCAACUCCAGUAACAGUGCCUCUGUAAAUGAAGAAAGUGGAUCCAGGAUCAAACAACUGGACCUCUAUGUCAGGUCCAAUUGCAGUGUGCUUCGAGCCGAGAUGAUAGUGAACGAGUGCAUCGAGUCUGAGACUGAGGACUUUGCAAUAAGCCGUCCUAUUCUAAAACAAGGGUGCUUGUCAUCCAGCAACACCUUAGAGAUUAUUACUACCCAAAAUAAUUCCAGGGUUUACCGCCUUGAUUUGAGUACAAUACAGACCAAUGGAACAACUCUGUAUGUCCAGUGCACAGUCAAUCUGUGCAUUACCACCAUGCCCUCUCAGACAUGUCCAGAUCUGUGUAUCAGCUCCAGGAGUCAGAGCACCCUGGUUGGCAGUGUGUUCACCGGCAGCUACACAGUCAAAUCAGGACCUGUGAGCCUUGUGUUCACCGCUCCAACCACAACAGCCGUGGCAAACACAACAACCGCAGCCAAUACGACAAGUAUUACUGUAACAACCGCUACUACAGCCACAGCUACAACUACUAGUACAACCAAUACUGCAAGUACAUCAGCAACUCCAGCUGUUACAGCUACAACUACUACUACAACCAGUAGCACAACCAAUACUGCAAGUACAUCAGCAACUCCAGCUGUUACGGCUACAGCUACGACAGCUACUACAGCUGUCCAGAACACCACAGGAAGUGCUCCAUAUCAGGCCUCAUCUCUGGCAACAGGAGUGAUUUUGACAACUUUCAGCAUAUUUCUUCAGAAAAUGCUCCUUUGCUGAUCCUGCAUCUGGAGUUAUCUGUCACAUUAGGGAGCACCUCAUUCGUUUUCUUUGAAUAUUUAGAGAUAGAAUCACACAAAUGAUUCCACUGUGUAUUUUGAGCUGUUUCAGAUUCCUACAUUAAAGUGAGAUCACACAAAAUACUGUCAAAGGGAAAAGAAAUAGAAUUGCAUAGAAUUUUCUUAAUUCCUGUAUCCCUUUUAUAGUUAUAAGAUGGUAAGAAAUACUUAGGACGCAAUAUUAGAAAAUGUUAAACUGCUGUAUUACACUUUACUAGUGAAAUGGUGGAUUUAUAUGACCUUCAUCGACACAGCAAUUUGUCAGUUUGUUUUACAAAUCAGGACCAUUGUGGAUAAAAUGUUUUCUUCACCAUGAGUAAAACUUUUAAAAAAAAUUUUAACUGGCACUUUAGGAUCCACUUUAUGUAUUUUUUUCAUGGUCCAACAAAAACCUGUUGGAGAAAAAGAACUUGAGCUUAUCAUUAUCUAAAGUGUAUCCAUCUUUACUUCAGAUAUAAAAAUUAUUGUAUGUGUCUAUACGUUUAUAAUGUUUUGUUGUUAGAAUAACAUAAAUAUAUUGCUAAGUAGUUAUUAUUAUUAACUGAUUAUUAUUAACUGAUCUGUUUCUAAAAAUUUUCCUUUACAGUUCUAUUUUAUUAAUCUCUUAUAAGGCCUUUCAACUGUGGUUGUUUGCAAAGGCCAAUAUGAAUAAAGCAUGAAUUAUUAUUUGAUGAAAG
ensembl:lncRNA